rnacentral:rRNA from 1 species
AUUGAACGCUGGCGGCAUGCUUUACACAUGCAAGUCGAACGGCAGCGCGGGCUUCGGCCUGGCGGCGAGUGGCGAACGGGUGAGUAAUGCAUCGGAACGUGCCCAGUAGUGGGGGAUAGCCCGGCGAAAGCCGGAUUAAUACCGCAUACGACCUGAGGGUGAAAGCGGGGGACCGAAAGGCCUCGCGCUAUUGGAGCGGCCGAUGCCGGAUUAGCUAGUUGGUGGGGUAAAGGCUUACCAAGGCGACGAUCCGUAGCUGGUCUGAGAGGACGACCAGACACACUGGGACUGAGACACGGCCCAGACUCCUACGGGAGGCAGCAGUGGGGAAUUUUGGACAAUGGGGGCAACCCUGAUCCAGCCAUGCCGCGUGCGGGAAGAAGGCCUUCGGGUUGUAAACCGCUUUUGUUCGGGAAGAAAUCCUCUGGGCUAAUACCCCGGGGGGAUGACGGUACCGGAAGAAUAAGCACCGGCUAACUACGUG